AGAUUGAACGCUGGCGGCAUGCCUAACACAUGCAAGUCGAACGGGAGUAGCAAUACUCUAGUGGCGGACGGGUGAGGAAUACGUAGGAAUUUGCCCUUAAGUGGGGGAUAACCCGGGGAAACCCGGAUUAAUACCGCAUGACCUACGAAAGAGCAAAGUGGGGGAUCGCAAGACCUCACGCUUUGGAGAAGCCUACGUCGGAUUAGCUAGUUGUGAGGUAAUGGCUCACCAAGGCGACGAUCCGUAACUGGUCUGGAGAGGAUAGAUUCAGUCCACGACCGGAACUAGAGACCGACGGUCCGGACGUACCGUACGGGA
rnacentral:rRNA from 1 species